rnacentral:rRNA from 1 species
UACGGAGGGUGCGAGCGUUGUCCGGAAUCACUGGGCGUAAAGGGCGCGUAGGCGGGCUCGUUAGUCAGGGGUGAAAUCCCACGGCCCAACCGUGGAAGUGCCUUUGAUACUGCGAGUCUCGAGGGGGAUAGGGGCGUGCGGAACUCAGGGUGGAGCGGUGAAAUGCGUAGAUAUCCUGAGGAACACCGGUGGCGAAAGCGGCGCGCUGGAUCCCUUCUGACGUUGAGGCGCGAAAGCCAGGGGAGCAAACGGG